GACGUAGGGUCCGAGCGUUGUCCGGAGUUACUGGGCGUAAGGCGCGUAGGCGGCUUCUUGCGUCCCACGUGAAAGCCCCUGGCUCAACCAGGGAGGGUCGUGGGAAACGGGAGCUGGAGGCAGCGAGAGGCUGGUGGAAUUCCCGGAGUAGCGGUGAAAUGCGUAGAUAUCAAGAGGAACACCUGAGGUGAAGACGGGUUGCUGGGCUGACACUGACGCUGAGGCGCGAAAGCCAGGGAGGCAAACGGG
rnacentral:rRNA from 1 species